UACAGAGGUCUCAAGCGUUGUUCGGAUUCAUUGGGCGUAAAGGGUGCGUAGGUGGCGCGGUAAGUCGGGUGUGAAAUUUCGGAGCUUAACUCCGAAACUGCAUUCGAUACUGCCGUGCUUGAGGUCUGGAGAGGAGACUGGAAUUUACGGUGUAGCGGUGAAAUGCGUAGAUAUCGGAAGGAAGACCAGUGGCGAAGGCGGGUCUCUGGACAGUUCCUGACGCUGAGGCACGAAGGUCAGGGGAGCAAACGGG
rnacentral:rRNA from 1 species